rnacentral:rRNA from 1 species
AUUUGUUUCCUCAGUAACGAAGCUAACGCGUGAAGUUGACCGCCUGGGGAGUACGGCCGCAAGGUUAAAACUCAAAGGAAUUGACGGGGACCCGCACAAGCGGUGGAUGAUGUGGUUUAAUUCGAUGCAACGCGAAAAACCUUACCCACCUUUGACAUGUAUGGAAUCCCGAAGAGAUUUGGGAGUGCUCGCAAGAGAGCCAUAACACAGGUGCUGCAUGGCUGUCGUCAGCUCGUGUCGUGAGAUGUUGGGUUAAGUCCCGCAACGAGCGCAACCCUUGCCAUCAGUUGCUACGAAAGGGCACUCUGAUGGGACUGCCGGUGACAAACCGGAGGAAGGUGGGGAUGACGUCAAGUCCUCAUGGCCCUUAUAGGUGGGGCUACACACGUCAUACAGUGGCCGGUACAAAGGGCAGCGAAGCCGCGAGGUGAAGCCAAUCCCAUAAAGCCGGUCGUAGUCCGGAUCGCAGUCUGCAACUCGACUGCGUGAAGUCGGAAUCGCUAGUAAUCGUGGAUCAGCAUGUCACGGUGAAUACGUUCCCGGGUCUUGUACACACCGCCCGUCACACCAUGGGAGCGGGUCUCACCAGAAGCAGGUAGCCUAACCGCAGGGAGGGCGCUUGCCACGGUGGGGUUCGUGACUGGGGUG